UCACCCUUUUAGCCUUUGGGCUGAGGACAGCACCUAUUCUUACCAGUUUAAUGUCUGAUAUGUCCUUUAUUUGAGGACUAUAUAUUAAAUGGAUUUUUCAGCAUAGGAGAUGAAAUAGGAGCAAGCUCCAUUGUUGCCAAGCUUCAAGCUGUUAUUAAAACAGUGGUGGCAGGGGAGUGUAGUGG